ensembl:lncRNA
GUGGGAUCAAUGGGACGGAUGGGAUCAUUGGGGUCAUGGGUUCAAUAGGUGAUAUGGGUGGGAUCAUGGAUGGGAUCAUCAGCGGCAUCCAUGGGAUCAGUGUGAUCGCUGGUGUGGAUGGGAUCAUCACUGGGAUCAUGGGAUCACUGGGUGACAUGGGUGGGAUCAAUGGUGGGAUCAAUGGGAUGGAUGGGAUCAUUGGUGGGGUCAUGGGAUCGAUGGGUGACAUGGCUGGGAUCAUGGAUGGGAUCAAUGGGAUGGAUGGGAUCAUUGGUGGGGUCAUGGGAACAUCAGUGGCAUCCAUGGGAUCAGUGGGAUUGAUGGGAUGGAUGGGAUCAUCAGAGGCAUCCAUGGGAUCAGUGGGAUCGUUGGGAUAGGUGGGAUCAUCAAGUGGGGUCAUGAGAUCAGUGGGAUUGCUGGGAUGGAUGGGAUCAUGCAGUGGGGUCAUGGGAUCGAUGAAUGACAUGGGUGGGGUCACCAAUGGGAUCAUCGGUGACAUCAGUGGGAUCAAUAGGAUCACUGCAAUGGAUGGGAACAUCAGUGGGUUGGGUGGGAUCAUCAGUGGGGUCAUGGGAUCGAUGGGUGACAUGGGUGGGAUCAGUGGUGGGAUCAAUGGGAUGGAUGGGAUCAUUGGUGGGGUCAUGGGGUCGGUGGGUGACAUGGGUGGGGUCAUGGAUGGGAUGAUCAGUGGCAUCCAUGGGAUCAGUGGGAUCGUUGGGAUGGGUGGGAUCAUUGGUGGGAUGGGUGGGAUCAUCAGUGGGGUGAUGAGAUCAGUGGGAUUGCAGGGAUGGAUGGGAUGAUCAGUGAGGUCAUGGGAUCAGUGGGAUCGCUGGUGUGGAUGGGAUAAUCACUGGGAUCCAUGGGGUCAAUGGGAUCUUUGGGAUGGAUGGGAUCAUCAGUGGGGUCAUGAGAUCAGUGGGAUUGCUGGGAUGGGUGGGAUCAUCAGUGGGGUCAUGGGAUCGAUGGGUGACAUGAGUGGGAUCAAUGGUGGGAUCAAUGGGAUGGAUGGGAUCAUUGGUGGGGUCAUGGGAUCGAUGGAUGACAUGGGUGGGGUCACCAAUGGGAUCAUCGGUGACAUCAGUGGGAUCAAUAGGAUCACUGCAAUGGAUG